rnacentral:tRNA from 1 species
UGAUAUGGCUUAGUGGUAGAGUGCUUGCCUCGCAUGCAUGAGGCUCUGGGUUCAAUUCCUCAGUACCA